CAGGUUCGAAUCCUGCACGACCCACCAAUUUAACAUCAAACUCAGAUGUUGAACGUGAAGGAUAACGUUGCGUCAGCAACGGCCCGUAGGGCGAGGCGAAGCCGAGUCAUCCUGCACGACCCACCA
rnacentral:sRNA from 3 species